AGGGGUAUUGCUCAGUAGCAGAGCAUUUGACUCCAGCUUAAGAGAUCCUAGGUUUAAAUCCUAGUGCCCCCU
rnacentral:tRNA from 1 species